rnacentral:lncRNA from 1 species
CUCGAGAUUUAUGACACCAGGUCAUGGAGCACAGGACUCAUUGUCUCUGGUGGAGACAAGCAGCUCUGAAGAUAUCAGGCUGGUGUUUCCCUCACGAGGAGGCAGCUGGCCUGUGGGAGCUGACGAGAGUCCAGCGUGCAGAGCUGCAGGAAGGAAUGCGAAGACAGCAGGCAACAGCCAGCUCCAGCUCUUCCCAAGGAACAGCCACACCGCCUCCUGCACUCCCAUCAGCCUACAGAUGCCUGCUCCCUCGAGUCCAAGUGAGUCUAAGGUCUGCCCACCCCCACCUGUCCCCGGCCUAGGCCCCCGUCCCUCAGUGAACCCUGCUGCUGCGGCUUGA